AUACGUAGGUGGCGAGCGGUGUCCGGAAUUACUGGGCGUAAAGGGUGCGUAGGCGGAUAAUCAAGUCAGAUGUGAAAGUCCAUGGCUUAACUGUGGGAGUGCAUUUGAGACUGAAGAUCUAGAGUGCAGGAGAGGGAAGCGGAAUUCCUAGUGUAGCGGUGAAAUGCGUAGAUAUUAGGAAGAACACCAGUGGCGAAGGCGGCUUUCUGGACUGUAACUGACGCUGAAGCACGAAAGCGUGGGGAGCAAACAGGAUUAGAUACCCUGGUAGUCCACGCCGUAAACGAUGAUUACUAGGUGUGGGGGGUCUGACCCCCUCCGUGCCGGAGUUAACACAAUAAGUAAUCCACCUGGCAAGUACGACCGCAAGGUUGAA
rnacentral:rRNA from 1 species